rnacentral:rRNA from 1 species
GAUGAACGCUGGCGGCGUGCCUAAUACAUGCAAGUCGAGCGAACAGAUGAGGAGCUUGCUCCUCUGACGUUAGCGGCGGACGGGUGAGUAACACGUGGAUAACCUACCUAUAAGACUGGGAUAACUUCGGGAAACCGGAGCUAAUACCGGAUAAUAUAUUGAACCGCAUGGUUCAAUAGUGAAAGACGGUUUUGCUGUCACUUAUAGAUGGAUCCGCGCCGCAUUAGCUAGUUGGUAAGGUAACGGCUUACCAAGGCAACGAUGCGUAGCCGACCUGAGAGGGUGAUCGGCCACACUGGAACUGAGACACGGUCCAGACUCCUACGGGAGGCAACAGUAGGGAAUCUUCCGCAAUGGGCGAAAGCCUGACGGAGCAACGCCGCGUGAGUGAUGAAGGUCUUCGGAUCGUAAAACUCUGUUAUUAGGGAAGAACAAAUGUGUAAGUAACUAUGCACGUCUUGACGGUACCUAAUCAGAAAGCCACGGCUAAAUACGUG